AGAGUUUGAUCAUGGCUCAGAUUGAACGCUGGCGGCAGGCCUAACACAUGCAAGUCGAGCGGCAGCGCGGGGUAACAUGCUGACGAGUGGCGGACGGGUGAGUAACGCGUAGGAAUCUACCCAGUAGCGGGGGAUAGCUCGAGGAAACUCGAAUUAAUACCGCAUACACCUUACGGGGGAAAGCAGGGGAUCUUCGGACCUUGCGCUAUUGGAGGAGCCUGCGUUGGAUUAGCUUGUUGGUGAGGUAAAAGCUCACCAAGGCGACGAUCCAUAGCUGGUCUGAGAGGAUGAUCAGCCACACCGGAACUGAGACACGGUCCGGACUCCUACGGGAGGCAGCAGUGGGGAAUAUUGGACAAUGGGGGCAACCCUGAUCCAGCCAUGCCGCGUGUGUGAAGAAGGCCUUAGGGUUGUAAAGCACUUUCAGUAGGGAGGAAAAGUUAGUCGUUAAUCACGGCUAACCCUGACGUUAACUACAGAAGGAGCACCGGCAAACUCCGUGCCAGCAGCCGCGGUAAUACGGAGGGUGCGAGCGUUAAUCGGAAUUACUGGGCGUAAAGCGCGCGUAGGCGGCCUGAUAAGUUGGAUGUGAAAGCCCUGGGCUCAACCUAGGAACUGCAUUCAAAACUGUCAGGCUAGAGUAUGGUAGAGGAUAGUGGAAUUUCCGGUGUAGCGGUGAAAUGCGUAGAGAUCGGAAGGAACAUCAGUGGCGAAGGCGGCCCCCUGGUUCGAUACUGACGCUAAGGUGCGAAAGCGUGGGGAGCAAACAGGAUUAGAUACCCUGGUAGUCCACGCCGUAAACGAUGUCAACUAGCCGUUGGGAGCCUUUGUGCUCUUAGUGGCGUAGCUAACGCGAUAAGUUGACCGCCUGGGGAGUACGGUCGCAAGAUUAAAACUCAAAUGAAUUGACGGGGGCCCGCACAAGCGGUGGAGCAUGUGGUUUAAUUCGACGCAACGCGAAGAACCUUACCAGGUCUUGACAUCCAGAGAACUUUCCAGAGAUGGAUUGGUGCCUUCGGGAACUCUGUGACAGGUGCUGCAUGGCUGUCGUCAGCUCGUGUUGUGAAAUGUUGGGUUAAGUCCCGUAACGAGCGCAACCCUUGUCCUUAUUUGCCAGCACGUAAUGGUGGGAACUCUAAGGAGACUGCCGGUGACAAACCGGAGGAAGUUGGGGACGACGUCAAGUCAUCAUGGCCCUUACGAGCGGGGCUACACACGUGCUACAAUGGCCAGGACAAACGGUUGCAACCCCGCGAGGGUGAGCUAAUCCGACAAACCUGGUCGUAGUCCGGAUCGGAGUCUGCAACUCGACUCCUUGAAGUCGGAAUCGCUAGUAAUCGCGAAUCAGAAUGUCGCGGUGAAUACGUUCCCGGGCCUUGUACACACCGCCCGUCACGUCAUGGAAGUGGGUUGCACCAGAAGUAGCUAGUCUAACCUUCGGCGUAACCUGCGGGAGGACGGUUACCACGGUGUGAUUCAUGACUGGGACGAAGUCGUAACAAGGUAGCCGUAGGGGAACCUGCGGCUGGAUCACCUCCUU
rnacentral:rRNA from 1 species